rnacentral:rRNA from 1 species
UACGAAGGGUGCAAGCUUUAGUCGGAAUUACUGGGCGUAAAGCGUGCGUAGGUGGUUUCUUAAGUCCGUUGUGAAAGCCCUGGGCUCAACCUGGGAACUGCAGUGGAUACUGAGAGGCUAGAGUGUGUCAGAGGAUGGUGGAAUUCCCGGUGUAGCGGUGAAAUGCGUAGAGAUCGGGAGGAACAUCAGUGGCGAAGGCGGCCAUCUGGGACAACACUGACGCUGAGGCACGAAAGCGUGGGGAGCAAACAGG